CAGCGAGAUAAACAGGUGUGCUGUACAAUCGCGCGCCACCGCCGUCCCGGGCGUGCUUAUGGUGCGCGCUGCUACGGCGGAGUCGUCCGCAGGUGGCAGCGAAGAGGAGGCGGGCGGCACCGACGCGUGGGGCACCAUUGCUAUGAAAAGAGCACUGAACUACGACUCAGGGUUGAAGCCAUUCAUGACACCGUGGCGCGAGGUGCGUCGCGCACUGCGCGAUGCGGGUUGCUUUUCGACGCUUGCACUGCCGCGCCUGACGCUGCCAACGGACCGGGCGAGCCCUCGCGUCGGCGAUGUUUCACCUGAGUCUUCCACAGCCCUUCCUCCGCUGUGCCGAAAGCCGCUCGUGCUGAUGAGCGGCCGAGGGCGAGACUGCGCGAGUUGCUCCAGCUUUGCCUCUGACGUGCUGGAGCACUACCGAGCCGAGUGGGAGUACGUACGCGCUCACGUGACCCUCGUCGACGCCGGAGACCCGAUGACAGAAGAACUGGUGCGGAACCCGUACCCGCUGUGGUACGACCCGGCGGAGGCGGGGCCGUGGAUGACGUUGACAAAGGUAUCCGAGGUGCGGAGGGCUGAGGGUGACGUCGUCGCCGCUGCGUCCGGCGCGAGCAGCACCUCCGGGGCCCCCUCUCACGACGUAGCCCAGACGUUACAGCAGUCGGAUGUCGAGGACUACACUCUCUUCAACAUGGGCGUCCGCCGCAAGGCCGCUUUCCUCCUGCAGUCCCCAACGGUGCAGGCCACGCAUCACUGGUCGCGCCUCGUAAAGCGCGCAUUCGCUGGCCAGUCCGAGUACGUGCUGCGCAUCGUCUUUGCCUACCCGCACAACGGCAGCGUCAUGCGCGACAUCGUGAACGAGGAGGUUACCGUCGGCGGAAGUCAAGCCGACUACCUGCACUUUUUCAAUAAAGCGCAGCCGUUCUUCCACUGUGUAAAGAAGGCGGUGCGGGUAAUGGAUUGGCUGCAGCGAUAUGGCGACUACUGAUGGCGCACCUGCCUGCGAUGACCGUUGCGUGUAUGUGUGUGGGAGCUCGGGUAGCAAUAUCAGCCGCCUUAUACAUCUCAUCCUCAUGGUUCUGACUUCUACACAACGCUCGGGCGCAUGUUGCACUUGAUACGCAGCUGCGUGUCCCUGGCGCAGGAAGUGCGUGGAUAUCUGUGACCAGGAUGCCGUUCUGCUGCAGCAUACUGCUGAUGGGCGCUGGGCUGUUUCCUCUUCUCCUCACGGCCCUCUCUUCGCGUGCUGCUGCUCGUGCUCUCUCUUUGUGUGUGUGUGUGUGUGUGGCACCUUCAGUGACGGCACGUUCCCCAAGAACGAAAAAAAGACGACAAGGGAGAGGCGACGCACUUUCCCGACAAUCGAUGCCCAAACGCCAACACCACGAGGGAGACGCGCCGACUGCUUGGCGCCACCGCUCUCCACUGCUGCCGGGGUGUAGGCGUAGGCGUCGAUACGGGGCGGGGCAGGGCAGGAGAGAAAAAGAGGGGGAGGAGUAGUGGGCUGCACUUUCUCCUCAUGUGAUCUCCUAUCAUCACUUCUCGGGUUUUUUUUGUGCGGUAUGUACAUGGCGACUGGUGUGCGUGCGCAUGUGUGCUGCACGGCCAGCGCGAACCGCUAUUCUGUCCCUACGCCGCCUGUGAACUCGUCCUGGCCAAGCCAGCAUUCAUCGCGUCCGAUCGUGCCCUCUUCGCUUCACUCAUACGCAUUCUCUGCUUCUCCACCACAUCCUCGUGCGCACUUAG
rnacentral:misc_RNA from 1 species